rnacentral:misc_RNA from 1 species
AAGCCGUAACAAGGUUUCCGUAGGUGAACCUGCGGAAGGAUCAUUAACACGUAUCCAAACGUUAAAACCCCCCACGUGAACAUUGAUUCCUGCUCUUGUAACCCGCGAAGCUUGGGCCUAGCUCCUGCCCGCGAGGUGCGGUCUACAAGAAUCGUGAAGCGUUAUCCUUGCACAAUCACUGACACUUUCAGACACUGACUGCUUGGGGAAACAAGGCCUAUAGAACUACCGCUCGAAUUGUAACUGUUCCAAUUUUCGCACGGGCCAGAUGUCUCUGAAUCAAAACUACUUUCCGAGCUAUGAUUUACCAGAGAUUGCAAAGGGUCCCCAUGCCCCCUUACAACCCCACAGUUAAAUGUGAAGCUCAAUGUAAUACAUUGGGUAAAAAACCGAACAACUGUUAACAAUGGAUAUCUUGGUUCUC